UACGUGAGGGUGCGAGCGUUGGUCCGGAAUUAUUGGGCGUAAAGAGCUCGUAGGCGGUUUGUCGCGUCGACUGUGAAAACCCGAGGCUUAACCUCGGGCCUGCAGUCGAUACGGGGCAGACUAGAGUUCGGUAGGGGAGACGUGGAAUUCCUGGUGUAGCGGUGAAAUGCGCAGGAUAAUCAGGAGGAACACCGGUGGCGAAGGCGGGUCUCUGGGGCCGAUACUGACGCUGAGGAGCGAAAAGCGUGGGGGAGC
rnacentral:rRNA from 1 species